UCAGGCUUCUGCCGGGGACGGCCUGCCCUGUGGGCUGAGCUCCCUGUGCCUGGUGUGCAUUGGGAUGUCCCCUGCUUACUCAUGGGGGCCAGGAACCUGAGCCAGGAGCCUGGAGAGUGGCCAGGUCACCCAGGUACUUGAGAAAUGGUUCCCUUAUCUCCAAGAACUCGGAGAGAUCCACUCCAAGAACUCCCUUCCUGCAUUUCCCAAAUUUUUCACCAGUGAUUCCAUGGGAGGAAACCAGGUCGCAGCCUUGAUUAAGAACAAACAAGCAGAAAAGCUCCAGGUGUGUGUGCAGGGAAGACUGUUUCAGGGGCCUCCCUUCCUGUCUCUCGUAAGAGAAUUGUGAAAGCUUCACCGGAAAUCCUCAGCAUGGAUUCCAGUAGUUGCAAGGACUGAUUCCCAGCACAUUGUACACAUUAACAGCUAACAUGUGUGAAGAAAACUUGUAAUCACUGGAAUCUAAAUACCAUAUUUUUUGACACCCAUAAUUAAAUUUUGUUGUUGUUCUGUUAAUCCUCA